rnacentral:other from 1 species
CUUCACUGCCGUAUAGGCAGGCUUAGAAA